rnacentral:rRNA from 1 species
UUGGAGGGCAAGUCUGGUGCCAGCAGCCGCGGUAAUUCCAGCUCUAAUAGCGUAUAUUAAAGUUGUUGCAGUUAAAAAGCUCGUAGUUGAAUUUCGGGGUCAGUAGGUCGGUCGUGCCACUGGUAUGAACUGGUUUUACUGAUUCCUCCCUCUUGAAGAACUGUAAUGCCAUUAAUUUGGUGUUGCAGGGAAUCAGGACUGUUACUUUGAAAAAAUUAGAGUGUUUAAAGCAGGCUUUAGCUUGAAUACAUUAGCAUGGAAUAAUGAAAUAGGACGUUUGAUCCUAUUUUGUUGGUUUCUAGGAUUGACGUAAUGAUUAAUAGGGAUAGUUGGGGGCAUUAGUAUUCAAUUGUCAGAGGUGAAAUUCUUGGAUUUAUUGAAGACUAACUACUGCGAAAGCAUUUGCCAAGGAUGUUUUCAUUAAUCAAGAACGAAAGUUAGGGGAUCGAAGACGAUCAGAUACCGUCGUAGUCUUAACCAUAAACUGUGCCGACUAGGGAUCGGAUGAUGUUAAUUUUUUAAUGACUCAUUCGGCGCCUUACGGGAAAC